rnacentral:rRNA from 1 species
UACGUAGGGACCAAGCGUUGUUCGGAAUUACUGGGCGUAAAGGGCGCGUAGGUGGCCUUCUUAGUCAGACGUGAAAUCCCCAGGCUUAACCUGGGAACUGCGUCUGAUACUGGAAGGCUCGAGUUCGGGAGAGGAAUGUGGAAUUCCAGGUGUAGCGGUGAAAUGCGUAGAUAUCUGGAGGAACACCGGUGGCGAAGGCGGCAUUCUGGACCGAAACUGACGCUGAGGCGCGAAAGCCAGGGGAGCAAACGGGG